rnacentral:misc_RNA from 1 species
CCGAGUUAGGGUCCCUUAGGGCUCGACCUCCAAACCCUUGUGUACCUCACAUGCCUGUUGCUUCGGCAGGCCCCCGUGCCUGCCGGAGCCCCAACAAAAAAAAUAUUGUCAUCGUGUCGUGUCUGAGUUUAAAAUGUUAAAUUGUUUA